GCAGUGGUGGUUCAGUGGUAGAAUUCUCGCCUUCCGUGCCAAAGACCUGUGUUCAAUUCUGGCCAAUGCA
rnacentral:tRNA from 1 species